UGGCCUUCCUAAUCAGGCCUGACAGUUUUGCACAAGCGCUGUCAGUCUUUGCACUGCAUGACAGUGUCCCCAGGACUGCCUGUCCCCCACUACAGCUCUGCUGGCCCAGCAACCAAAGGGUUCCUUCUGCUCACAGGGGUAUCACUUGUUUGAAGAAUCAGUCACUAGACACCAGGUAGUUUCCACAGCUGGUAAUUAAACUGAUUUGGACAUCCAAAGGGCAGUUCUCUUGCCAAAGUGCAGCAGCUCCUGGCAGCCAGCCCUCCCAGCUCUCCUGCAUCCUGCUGUUGCCAUGGCAGCACGCAGGAUGUGCACCUCAGUGCUUAUUAGGCUCCAAGAAGCAUUUCCCAUGUGAGUUGGGCUGCACAAUCACAGGCACAGAACUGUUAAGCCAUCAUGGUAUGAAAAUUAGCCACAGCCACAAUUACACAAAACUUGAAAAGCUGGAAGAGCGCUCAUCUUUGUGCAUUGGCUGUCCUCAUUUAAGGCUUUAUAUCUUGACUUGCAAAACACUCCAAUAAGCAGUGUCUGCUGCAGUUUCAACUACAAGCAAGUCUGUCUUUUACAGUGCAUCAGUCACCAGUGAACUCUGGUCUUCUGUGUAGUGGUGGACACCAGAGCCCUGAUGUUUGUGCUGGAUGGGGGCCACCUCUGGGUAGGACUGUCCUGCACACAUUACCUCAGUCCUGGUUUCUCUCUGGCAGUGCACAAUGCUCCUAGGGAGCACCUGCAGCCUGCUAAAAACUGCUGUGCUGGCAGGAGCCACAACCUGUGUGGGAUGGGGAAAAGGUCCACGCAGGGACAAAGCUGAGACCCUUUUCCUAGGAGCCUCCAGCAGCAGCAGCGUUUCUAACCCCCACAUAUGAAAGCCGAUAUUUCAAUGCCUGCAGGUUGCUAUGGACAACCAAAGAUUUCUAAACUGCAGAGCCCUGACUCUCUGUACACUGCAGUAGCACUUGGCAUUUCUGUUACCAAGAGCUCCAUGCUGGAAGGGAAGGAAUACUCUCAUCACUUUUCAACUGAAGAUGUGGAAGGUCUGAUCACAAUGAGCAGAUCUGCAAAGUGCCACCUAAUUUAUCUUCCCACCGACACAGGCACAGAGAGCACACCUCCAUGAUUAAUGGACUUUUACACUCAAGGAGUUGGUUACACUGCAGCAGACAAUGAGAAAUCUGAUUACCACUAAUAUGAUAUUGACACAAAUGUCAAUGCUCUAAGAUACACAAUAUCAUUUUGAAUCAAGGAUCCCUUUCAUCACUGUUAUUUUUGUUUUCUUCUUCCAUUUUAAUAAACUGUUGUUCUGUGUAUUACCCAAAUACUCCAGACUAAAACUACCUGGGGACAAUUUAGUUUUUAUGUAACACUUCAUUAAGUAGAAGGCACCUUUAACAAAAAGGUGUUUGUGCUCACAUAGCUGGGUUAUCAUUUAAAUACACAAUGCUUCAGCUGAAAACUGUGGUCAGCUGAUGCCUUUACCUUAGUGAUAACUAAUCUGCUGUUUUAUCAAAGUCAAAUAUAGCAGGAAGUGGGAAUAAUGGCUUUUUCUUUUUUGUCUCUGGAGAAUUGUACUGAUCAAAUCAGCCAAAUCUUGACCAGUCAAAAAUUAAAUUAAGCUUGGCAAUUGUGUUCUGUAGCCAAACAACCGAGGCAGUCAGAUCCACAGGUGGGAUCUCUCCUUGCAAAAGGCCCACACAGCAUGAGCAGAGGCUGCAGCUGGCCAAGGCCUCUGUUUCCCUGGCCACCUUCCUUCCCAGCUGGGCAGAGGCACAACAGCGCUACCCUGCUGGGUUGUCUGUGGGAGCAGUGGCUCUAAGAGAGGCUGAAGGGCUUUGGACUCAUAAAUGUCUUUACUGGUUCUGGAUCUCCUUGGCCAGGCUUCUGGUUUUGGACUUUGGGGCCUGACCUGGGCCUUAGCUCUUGGUUCUGGUUUGGCUGAUGGAAGUGGAUCCAUGGAGAAACCCAGUUACCCCUCACAGAGCAGUUGUUAAAUUUCUAUGUCUUCAAGAAGGAAUUAGCUUAGUUCCUGACAAAAAAUUUCAAUAAAGACUGGAGAAAUAGGCAGGGUGGGAGAAGAAGCAGUAUUUCUGGAGAUGAGAGCUCUUAGUAAAACCCAUGCAACCAUUAAAGUCCUUAAAUUCUGCAUGAAGACUACAUAAGAAGGUAUACCAAGCCUUGAAGCAGAUCUCACUUCUCUCCAUAACCUAGAGCAGAGGAAGAGGAGCAGGAGGCAGGGAAGAGUCAAACCUUAUGACCAAGUGGCAAAGUUCACUCAUCACUUUGAAUUCUAAAGCUGUGCUUCAAGAAAUGAAAGCCCAAGCAAAAUAAACACAACAGAGCUUACCUGGGAAAAACCCAACUGGAAAUUGACAAAACCAAAACACUUUAAGAGCUAAAGAAAUUUAAAAGUAAACUCUUUGUACUUUUUAUUAAUACAUUACAAGUUCAAAGUCUGCAAAACCAUUUGUAACCACCUGAAAGGAGCAAAGUAUGAGAUAGAAAUGUACUGUGAGGCUGC